UACGGGAGGUAGCAGUGGGGAAUAUUGCACAAUGGGCGAAAGCCUGAUGCAGCUAUGCCGCGUGUAUGAAGAAGGCCUUAGGGUUGUAAAGUACUUUCAUCGGGGAGGAAAAAACAAAACUAAUAAUUUUAUUUCUUGACGUUACCCGAAAAAGAAGCACCGGCUAACUCCGUGCCAGCAGCCGCGGUAAUACGGAGGGUGCUAGCGUUAAUCAGAAUUACUGGGCGUAAAGAGCACGUAGGUGGUUUUUUAAGUCAGAUGUGAAAUCCCUGGGCUUUAACCUAGGAACUGCAUUUUGAAACUGAAAUACUAGAGUAUCGUAGAGGGAGGUAGAAUUCUAGGUGUAGCGGUGAAAUGCGUAGAUAUCUGGAGGAAUACCUGUGGCGAAAGCGGCCUCCUAAACGAAUACUGACACUGAGGGUGCGAAAGCGUGGGGAGCAAACAGGGAUUAGAUACC
rnacentral:rRNA from 1 species